UGAAACCAGGUGAACAGAAACAGCUGAAGUGACUGAAAACAGGUUGAGUUUGGAGCACGAGGAGGAAAGGUGUGAUUUACACUCGUGUAAACAACCUCUCUGUCACGAAGAAGAAGAAGAGCACUGACAGGUAAUAAAGCAGGAGUUCACAGGUUAAACAUCCUCCUCAGCCUGAAGUGAGAUCUCGCCCAUCAGGCCGAAGCGUCUGCAUCAAACAGAGAUGAUCAGUCGUUUCUGUCCAGGUCGCAUCAGAACAAUAACAGGAAACCAACAGAAAACAGGAAGUGCGUACACCUAUUGUGGCGGCAAAGCCAGAGGUUGUGAGCAGACCGUGGAGGUCAGGUGCGUGGGUGACGUUUUCACGCCGGCUAAUAAAAAAAAGAAAAGUUUCCACAGAGCUCACCGCCGCAGGAGAAACGUUAAAUAAACCGAGCAGAGCUGCUGAUAAACAACCUGAGCAGGAAAUCGGUUCUUCUACAGCCGAUCCUUUAAAACAAAACAAACGCAGAAGAAGUGAUAUUUAGCGGUGUCACUAUGCAGGUGCAACCUUCUGUUCCACACCCCAACAUGAAACCAUCGAUCCGCCCACCCGGCAGGGGUCGAAAGUUUAUUCAUCUUAAAACACAUUUGUGCCCAAAAAAACCAGGAGAAGCUUUUAACUGGAUUAAAAACAACAAAAAGCUCACCUUUCGGACAAAAACCAGAGAGUAUGCAGAGCGAGGAGGGUCAGCGAGACGCUUUGAGGGGGCGGCUGCGUCUAAAAGGGUCCUACGGUUGAGGUUUCUCUCUGAAAGGAAAUGUAGGAGUUGUUGAAACUCCCCCCACCCCUUCAAUCAUCUCGACCUCCCCUGAGGACGCCACAGAUUCUGUCUUCAGUUCUUAUCCGUGGUUACAAAACAGAACGACCCCAAAACUCUGGAGAUAAAACUUCAAAAUAAUGUUUCAAAUUUAAGAUUUGCUGCAGCGGAGCAGGUUAAAACCUCAAACUGUGACAUGUCUCUGUUUUCUGGAUUAAUAAUCUGGAACUGAGGCGCCGCGCGCUGCAGCUCCCGUCUCUUUUUGUUUUCUACCUUCAGCGUCUGCGGCGCUCAGGAAACAGGAGCGAGCCAUUUUCUGCAAACGCUCUUCUCCUUUCAUUCUGUUUUUUUUUCUUUUUGUCUUGCAUGUGGCGUGACGCAAGCAGCCGCAGUCAUUUCCACCGUGAUUGUCGGGCGCCAUCAGAGAGCAUCGAUAACCCCUGCCAGGCCUUGGCGCCGCCGCCAGGUGCCGGCACUGCCAGCGAGGUUGGCACCGGCGUGGCUGUGAAAAACCCUCUGACAUCCAGAAGGGCACAGAUUUGCUCUGAAUGCACCACUGAAUCAACACUGCUGAUUAUCAAUUAACAUAUAGCGUUUUGUAUCGCACAGAAAAGGAGCUUUUGAAGCCCAGAAAGCCCGUCAGAAUCAGGCGCUGAAUGCAGAUUUAGGUGGGUUUCUGCAGGCCUGCGUGGCUUUGUGUCAUGUUUGUAAAGGAAUCCUGACUGAGCUGCACCUCAGGACCCGUGUUCUCCGGUUCUAACCUGCAGAUUCCAAAGCUCGCUCUGAUUUGUAUUUUUUUUUUUUAAACACGACACUAAUAAUCGACACACAAAAGCCUUGAAAGGCGCCGCAGUUUGGCUCAGCGUGGAGGAGCGUCUUUAUUUAGCGGCGCCGCUCGUAGGUGUGAUGUCUUCAUGCUCGCCACUCGUGAUGCUUCUAAUGGGCAUUAAUACGAUUAUUUGCUUCCUAAUAGGAAUUAGUGAGAGCAGACGGCGCGAGGGUGGGCGGAGGGAGCCGUGGCACCGCUUUGACUCUGACGUCUCGCUGGAAGUGUCUGCCACGGUGAGAAAAGGAGGAGGAAAAAAAAAGACAAACACGUAAACAUAAUAGUAUUAUUAGAGGCUGCAGAGGAUUUAAUAAUCUGUCGAGGAACGUGUCAAAACAGGCGUGUGUGGGAGAGCAGACGAACCGCAGCCAGACUGAAAAUGUCAUUUACAGUAAAAAAAAAAAAA